rnacentral:lncRNA from 1 species
UCCCUGACCUAAUAAAUGACUUAAGUUUUAAAAGCACACAUGUCUCCUUGGUUAAGUGGUAUUAAGCAGUAAUACCCGGUGGCAGCGAAGAAAGAAGAAGGGCGAGAACCUUGUGAAGGCCUGGGGGAAAUAAGGGCUUCAGGGGGGAUCGCCACGGGCGAGAACCUCGUGAAGGCCUGAGGGAAAUAGGGGCUUCAGGGGAGAUCGCCACACUCAUCACAUGCCAAGCCGGGCUUCAUAAAGUUGCUUUCUUUGACUGUAGUUCCCACAAUUCUCCUAACCAGCCUAGCCAUAGGUCAGAAUCCUCCGAUGUCAGAAUGAGGUCACAAUCUGGUCUGUAUCCAGUUCAACAUGUUUGAAUACAAAGGUAUUGAAACCAAGCUUGUAAAAGUUGAACAUCUAGAACCUAGAUGGAUGAAUCUGUCCUUUUACAUGUCUUCCACACUUCUUUUUCUUUUUUAUUUAUUUCUUUAAGAUUUGUCUUGUCAGGUUUCUUUUCAAAGCAAAGGACUUAUAAAGCACAUUUUCGUCCCAGCCCGAAUAGGAAGACAUUUAGUCCCAUCACACAAAAUAGAUGGAAAUGUCCGUCGGCAGUCAGACAUCUGCAAAUUUCACUAUUUGAGCAAGUCUUACAAUCCCACAGCCAGUAGAGUCAACAGGGAUCCAAAAAUUAAUUCUUCUAUGCUCAGAUUGAUAGCAGUCUACAACAGAUGCUGCAUUUUGCCUUGAUUGGCUUUGACUCCAUGGGAAAACAGCUGCAUAGUGUUCGAAGAUCAAAAUGUUACUUGGAGCAGGUUUGAAUUUUCAUUAACAAUCCAACAGAAGAUGCAGUAGAGCAGAAGACCUGCUGAAAGGAGGUCAUGAGUGGGAGGGGAAGAACGCA